AAAAGCUGGCUGGCACCAGAGGCGCCUCAGAGGAUCACAGAUGGGCUCUGGGCCACCUGUUCUCAACACAGUCCCGUAGACUGCUAAGAGGUGGGAAUUGCACACCAACAGGAUUACCUUCCCCUUUCUGCUCCUCUCCUUUCAUACAAAGGAAAUGAAGACCUGGAGAAAUGAACUGUCCAAAGUCAUGUCUACCACAGGAACAGAGGUCGUGACUCAGAUAUCCUGCCUACUGGGCUGUGUCUGGUUCAUCAUUUGCUUCACCAGCUUCUCCGAAGCCUCACACACAGUAGCAGCUGGAAGAAUGACACCGUACACAGCACUGAUUCUUGCUUACCAAAAAGCUGAUGCUUGCGAAUACUCUGCCUCGGGCAGCCUUGUGUCCUUCCUCAACUGCCGACUUCCCCGCUUCUUGGGGAGCCAGGGUCCUGAGGCGCACCAGCAGGUGGCGCUGCCGCCAGCACAGCGGCUCCAGAUGCUCUCUGCCCUGCGGGAGUCCCGCCAAUCUCCCACACCCUGGCCAAGUUCCCUUGCGUCUGUAGCCCACUGUCUGAAGCCCUGACUUGGAUGCUGCUGUGAAGACACGCAGAGGACAGUGCCCCUGCUUAAGAAUCGGUCACUUUGGUUCUUGGGGGCGGAGGUAGCACGUGAGACAAAGAGAAACCUCAGUCAGCUCACCUGAAGUUCACCUGAUGCCCAUGGGCUGUGUUGCUAUGUCAGCCACUUGGGCUCCUGUUUCAAGCACCGGACCUGUACUCCCUGGACCGAAUCCCUCUAGGCUCCAGGAUACUCCUGAAAGCCCCUUCCCAGGGUUGGGUCAGGGUCCUCGCCUCGUUUGGCCUGGCCUGGCUUCUUCUUAUUCUUUCUUACUCACCCAGUAACUGAGACCUUGGCUUGUCUUCUGGGAGUGGCCUUGUUAAGAACGCAUGCUUUGUUGAUCUACAUUUUCCAGGCUAAGCUGGUUUUGAAUCCUGGCUCUGCUACUUAAAUUGGGGGACCUGGAGCAAGU
rnacentral:lncRNA from 1 species